GACGAACGCUGGCGGCGUGCUUAACACAUGCAAGUCGAACGGAAAGGCCCUGCUUUUGUGGGGUGCUCGAGUGGCGAACGGGUGAGUAACACGUGAGUAACCUGCCCUUGACUUUGGGAUAACUUCAGGAAACUGGGGCUAAUACCGGAUAGGAGCUCCUGCUGCAUGGUGGGGGUUGGAAAGUUUCGGCGGUUGGGGAUGGACUCGCGGCUUAUCAGCUUGUUGGUGGGGUAGUGGCUUACCAAGGCUUUGACGGGUAGCCGGCCUGAGAGGGUGACCGGCCACAUUGGGACUGAGAUACGGCCCAGACUCCUACGGAAGGCAGCAGUGGGGAAUAUUGCACAAUGGGCGGAAGCCUGAUGCAGCAACGCCGCGGGCGGGAUGACGGCCUUCGGGUUGUAAACCGCUUUCGCCUGUGACGAAGCGUGAGUGACGGUAAUGGGUAAAGAAGCACCGGCUAACUACGUG
rnacentral:rRNA from 1 species